AUUGAAGUAUCAUCAUGCAAGGCUAAAAAUCUUACAUGUUAAGAUGCAACAAAUAUCUUAAUUAAAUGCCAUUAAAAUUUGAAUAUAGAGAUUUUGCAUUCAAUUGUGAGAACAUGUAGUUUGUAGACCAACUCGAGGAUUCUGUUGUUCUGAUUCUGAAAUUCUGACCCAUGCAUGCUUUGAUCUAGCUAGCUUGUUGGGUCUCUCUUCUUACAAGAGAUGUGCAAGUACCAGGUGGCAAACCCAAUCUUUCCAUAUAAAAUGUCCUGACCCAUUUACCAUGGUCAAGGUGGAGACAUCAUCAUGAAAAUUUGGCGCAGUCCCUUUUAGCUUUAGCUUUGAAUGGUGGAGAAACUUUUUUCACUUCCCAUUUCAGAAAGCUUCUUUACACCUGAAAUAUGGAGAUAAACUCAUAAAAGUUUAACAUAUUACCAUCAAAAUCUCAUUCAAAUAUAGGUUAUUUUUUGGCAAAAACACACUAUAAUUACAUAUAUAUAUAUAUAUAUAUGGUUAUGUAAAUCACUAAAUCAGUAUAUCUCGUUAGAAAUUUGGAACACAAUAAAUUUAAUAAAUUUAGAAGAGAUCGAGCAAGAAAAUAUAUAAAUUAGGUACAGAUAUCUGUUUGAAAGAUAAAUACAUAUAUGAUUGAUAUACAGUAGUUCCAUAUUUUCAUACAUAGCAAAUGCUUAAAAUACAGAUCUUUUAGGACAAAGCACACAACGAUUAGAAGAUACCUGGUAAAAUUACAUGUCCAUAUGGAAUGGUCAAUUGGUAACUAUGAACUAUCAUACAUGAGAAAUGAGAAGUUUAGAGCCUGCUAGUGAAGAGAUCAGCAACAGCUUCAGCCAAGCAAAAGAUGAAUCUCCAAAACAAAUACAGAAUUCCAGCAAAGGAUGUUAGAGAAGGCAUAUAUAUGAUUACUCUUUCUUUCUACCUUUCUUUUUUUCACUCUUCUUCUAUGUAGAGGAUACAAAUGGAUGAUGAUAGAUAGACUACAAAUGGUAUUAUAUUGUGAAAAGUGGAAAAGAAAAAAAACAAGUAUUUUAUUUGAGAAGUUGACUGUUUCUUAAGGAUCAAGAUUAGUUUGUUUAAUGCUGAGUUGGAGAUUUCUAUCUCUUGUUGAAAAUUGUUUUUUGUUGCUAACCAUUGCUUUCAUACACAAAACAUUGCCCUAAAUAAGGCUGAGAUUCCUUUGAUUCACUUGGCAAGCAAAGACAUCUUUGUCGAUCUAGUGCAUCACAAUAAUUUACACUUGGCUAUAUCACCAGAAUCACAGGUCUGUUCACUAAAUUAAGCCUUGACUUCUUCUUGGCAUGCAUAGCACCAUC
rnacentral:lncRNA from 1 species